rnacentral:rRNA from 1 species
AGGAUGGGGCCGCGACCGAUCAGGUUGUUGGUGAGGUAACGGCUCACCAAGCCUAUAACCGGUGCGGGCCGUGGGAGCGGGAGCCCGGAGAUGGGCACUGAGACAAGGGCCCAGGCCCUACGGGGCGCAGCAGUCGCGCAAACUUUGCAAUACACGAAAGUGUGACAGGGCUAUCCCGAGUGCCGUCCGCUGAGGAUGGCUUUUACCCAGUCUAGAACGCUGGGGGAAUAAGGAGAGGGCAAGUCUGGUGUCAGCCGCCGCGGUAAUACCAGCUCUCCGAGUGGUGUGGAUGUUUAUUGGGCCUAAAGCAUCCGUAGCUGGCCAAGCCAGUCCCUUGUUAAACCCACCGAAUUAAUCGUUGGAUUGCGGGGGAUACUGCUCGGCUAGGGGACGAGAGAGGCAGACGGUAUUUUCGGGGUAGGGGUGAAAUCCUAUAAUCCCGAGAAGACCACCAGUGGCGAAGGCUGUCUGCUAGAACGCGCCCGACGGUGAGGGAUGAAAGCUGGGGGAGCGAACCGGAUUAGAUACCCGGGUAGUCCCAGCUGUAAACGAUGCAGGCUAGGUGUUUGGACGGCCACGUGCCGUUCUAGUGCCGCAGGGAAGCUGUUAAGCCUGCCGCCUGGGGAGUACGGUCGCAAGAUUGAAACUUAAAGGAAUUGGCGGGGGAGCACCACAAGGGGUGAAGCUUGCGGUUUAAUUGGAGCAACGCCGGAAAUCUCACCGGGAGCGACAGCAGUUUGAAGGCCAGAUUAAAGGUCUUGCCAGACGAGCUGAGAGGAGGUGCAUGGCCGUCGCCAGUUCGUGCCGUGAGGUGUCCUGUUAAGUCAGGCAACGAUCGAGACCCGCGUCCUCUGUUGCAACCAGUCUUGAGCUGGGCACACUGAGGAGACCGCCACUGAUAAAGUGGAGGAAGGAGCGGGCCACGGCAGGUCAGUAUGCCCCGAAUCUCCCGGGCCACACGCGAGCUGCAAUGGCAGGUACAAUGGGUUCCGACCUUGAAAGGGGAAGGCAAUCUCGAAAGCCUGCCGUAGUUGGGAUUGAGGGUUGUAACCCAUCCUCAUGAACAUGGAAUCCCUAGUAAUCGCGUGUCACUAGCGCGCGGUGAAUACGUCCCUGCUCCUUGCACACACCGCCCGUCGUUCCACCCGAGCGAUCCUUGGGUGAGGCGUGGUCUUCCUUGGCUGCGUCGAAUCUGAGUUUCGUAAGGGGGGAAAAGUCGUAACAAGGUG